UUUUUUUUUUUUUUUGUAUUAAGCUGGGACUGUUACAACAAUAUAUUAUAAUAACAAAAUAUUAUAAUAUUUGCCAUGCUUUUGUUUUCAGGCAGAAGGACUUUGUCACGCAAGCGUUUGCUAAACCAGCAUUUUUCAAGUGUUAGGCCUUAAUAGGUCACAGUCACUAUUGCCUUUAAAGUGGAGUACAGUGGAAUGGAAAUAACUGAAUAGAGGAAGAUAGAAUAGAAUAGAGAAGGAUAGAGUAGAAUAGAAUAGGAGUGUAUUCAUGUUGCAAAGGUUUCAAGGAAUGGUGACUUUCAUGUGCUUGGCUAAUUCCAGCCUGAAGCAGCACAAUGUAUCAUGUGCAGAUGAUCAAAAGUACCUGGAUAAAGCCAAGUCCCCAGGAAACUCAACUUGUACCAUGCUGCAUGGGAUCCUAGGGAGAAGUUCAAAAGAUUUCCAGGCAAAAUAACCUUGUUGUCUCCCUGGAUGUGUUCAAAGUAGCCUGAAUCCCUCUCAUACACCUUGUGAAAAAUUUUUUUUCUGCAAUUCAAUAUCAAAAUAAGAGAAAAUAUAGAGUAAUAUAUUACAGAAAAACUCAGAAAUGGAAGGUAGCAGCAAGUUGUAAUGUAGUUUCUGUGAGUGGAAGAUUAAAGAGGAAUGUUCCAUUCAGGUGGCUUGAAGAUCCUCCUACAAAUGAAUUUUGAGUAUUUGGUAUUUCUUUCUUUUCCUUCAGUUUGUCAAAUGUGCCCAUAAUGUUUUAAAAAAAGACCCAAUAAAACAAAAAUGGCUAAAAUUUUGUAUCUUGUA
rnacentral:lncRNA from 1 species